rnacentral:rRNA from 1 species
AACGAACGCUGGCGGCGUGUUUAAGACAUGCAAGUCGCACGGGACCAUUCUGGUAGUAAUACUCGGAUGGUCCAGUGGCGCACGGGUGAGUAACAUGUGAAUGACAUGCCCUUCAGUGGGGAAUAGCCCAGGGAAACUUGGAUUAAUACCCCAUGGUAUCGCGAGAUUAAAGGUGGCCGCAAGGCUGUCGCUGAAGGAUUGGUUCGCACCCUAUCAGCUUGUUGGCGGGGUAAUGGCCCACCAAGGCUACGACGGGUACCUGGUCUGAGAGGACGAUCAGGCACACUGGAACUGAGACACGGUCCAGACACCUACGGGUGGCAGCAGUCGAGAAUAAUUCACAAUGGGGGCAACCCUGAUGGUGCAACGCGGCGUGGAGGAUGACGGUCUUCGGAUUGUAAACUCCUGACAUCUGGGAGUAAGACCUGGUCGUGAAUAGCGGACAGGGUUGAUAGUACCAGAAGAGGAAGGGACGGCUAACUUCGUGCCAGCCGCCGCAGUAA